rnacentral:rRNA from 1 species
UACGUAGGGUGCGAGCGUUAAUCGGAAUUACUGGGCGUAAAGCGUGCGCAGGUUGUGUUGUAAGUCAGAUGUGAAAUCCCCGGGCUCAACCUGGGAAUGGCAUUUGAGACUGCAAUGCUGGAGUGUGUCAGAGGGGGGUAGAAUUCCACGUGUAGCAGUGAAAUGCGUAGAGAUGUGGAGGAAUACCGAUGGCGAAGGCAGCCCCCUGGGAUAACACUGACGCUCAUGCACGAAAGCGUGGGGAGCAAACAGG